UAUUGCACAAUGGGCGGAAGCCUGAUGCAGCGACGCCGCGUGAGUGAAGAAGUAUCUCGGUAUGUAAAGCUCUAUCAGCAGGGAAGAAAAUGACGGUACCUGACUAAGAAGCUCCGGCUAAUUACGUGCCAGCAGCCGCGGUAAUAUGUAGGGGGCAAGCGUUAUCCGGAUUUACUGGGUGUAAAGGGAGCGUAGACGGUAAUGCAAGUCAGAAGUGAAAGCCCGGGGCUCAACUCCGAGACUGCUUUUGAAACUGUGUGACUGGAGUGCAGGAGAGGUAAGCGGAAUUCCUGGUGUAGCGGUGAAAUGCGUAGAUAUCAGGAGGAACACCAGUGGCGAAGGCGGCUUACUGGACUGUAACUGACGUUGAGGCUCGAAAGCGUGGGGAGCAAACAG
rnacentral:rRNA from 1 species